GUCCAACACAGUGUCGCCUUCCUUGGCCCUGUCGCAGAGAUAGAUAAAAGUGAAUUGAGAAGUGGGAGCAAGGCAACAAGAAAUACUAGUGCUGCUACUACUGUAUCGACAAUUGCUGCUGAUGUAGUAGAUACAAUUACAGAGCCUAGUAGAUUCCAUUUGGAUCAGGGAGGGGCCAUCGGCGAUCAAUAGAGCGUAUACAUCACAACAAAAACUCGGUCGGAAGGGAAAAGGUUUGUGCUUUCAUUGCAUUGAAUUGGAUUUAAAACCAAAAAUAAAAUUGCUAUUUGGCCAUGACCAUAACUGAAGAAAAGAAGAGAAAUUUGGAAAGGUACCCACCCGGUCCAAGCAACACUCAUCCUCUUCCAUACUCUAUGCCUUCCCAAACUAAACAGAUCGUUCAACUGCAGAGAGUAAGAAAACACAGAAUCGUAUCAUUAAAGCCAAGGUAAGCAGCAGAGGGCGAAGGAAGAGGGUAAGCAACUGACGUUGUCAUAUACAGGGGCAAUGCGGUUAAAAAGCUCCUGCCGCUCUGCUGCGCAUCGAAUCGGUCUGUAAUUGCUGGUGCAACGACGGCCGCUGCUUAGAGGCGGAAGAAUGAAUUGAACAAGUCCGUGUGCGUGUGCGUGUGCGGCCAUUCUAAUUCCUUAAGAUGGGGCGGGGAUCUGGCAAGUUUGGUCAAUUGAGAUGUGUAAUCAGAUCAGUUAUCUUUUCAAUAAUAAUACCAACACUAAUACUAAUAAUUUAGAGUGAAGGGAAGGAGGUGUCUGGUAUGUUCUGGUCGGGAAUCAAAUUUGUACUAACUAGGCUGAAUGUGAAGUGCUAGCCCUGUCCAGGUACUUGGUAGUGGUAGUAGCAGCUAAGAGAGAGAGAGAGAGAGAGGGGGAGAGAGAGAGAGAGAGAGAGAGAGAGAGAGAGAGAGAGAGAGAG